UCACACCUAAAGAAAAAAAAUAUAUCAGGGGGAGCAAAUAAUAAAAAGGUAAGAUAAUUUAACAGCUCUUGUUAAUGCGGGACCUACUGUAUGCUUGCACCAUGGAGGGAACUGGAUCAUUAACUGCAGUUCCAUCCAGAAUCAAUGGAGGCAACAGGCUGCUGCUGGGGUGGUCUGUCUGGAGAUGGGGGAACAGGACAGGGUGACUUCUCGGCCAAAAUGUCUUGCUGGUGAAGAAAAUCAAAGAAUCAUGAAUACGUGUUACCGUUCAUUCCUUCAGUCCAACAAAGUGACAUCAUGCACCACACGCCUGCAAAACAAAUACUUUACAUAUGUGAGAGAUCGACAGUGACCAAGUUCUUACUUCUCUCCCCUAAAACGACUUGAGUCCCAUGCUUUUUUCUUUUCCCUUGUCUGCAUGUUCAUGAUAUUACUGCAGCCAGCUCGACUCACACACACACUCACAAAUAUGGGUUGUGUUACUUUGUUGCUAAGCAACCAGUUUGACAACAGUGCCCCUGCUGUGUUGAACUAGAGCAGGUUAUAAUUUCAGAUUGUGACUUAAAAGAGACAUCCUUGUUUGUCUGUGACCUUAAACAGUCGCCUUCAUCCAAGUGUCAACUGUGUGAAGUUAUUCAGCUUGUACCAAUCUUAAUAACAAUAAUUACAAUUAAAUUGCUUUAAGAUUUUAUAAUGCUAAUCCUCUAUUGUUAAACUCAGUUAACUUAGUUGCACUUGAAAGCCCUGGAUUCCUAAAUCAUGAAUCAGCAGUGACAUUUCAUCACACUUCCAAAUAAACAGUGGUAAUGUUGUAGUUCUCCACCAACAUAAUGGCUUCUCAAUAAUCAUCCCUAUAUGCUCUGAGCAAUGAGGUCUCACUUUUAUGAUUUUUGUUUUGGGAUUAGUCAAACUUUACUUGUUCAUAAUCAAUUGCUGUAUUCACUGUAAGUGGCUGAGCAAAUAACUAAAAUAGCAAGUCAUCACAGCUUUCAACCAGUUAAGAAAUAUAUCUUUUAUUUAUGUAUUACACAAAUAAACACAAUUACGGUCUUUGAGAUAGACCAGCAAUGCAUACAUUUAAAACAUAGUGACAGAAGCACAAAAUAGGCAGAAAUGAAAAAGUAGGCAAAAACAAAAGCAUAAACUCCUUAGUGUGUUUUUACAGCCUAGUCUUGAAAAAAUUGCAAAGACAAUGUUAAUUGUUUUUUACUAAAGGAAAUCAGCAGCAAGACAAAAUGUUAGAAAACUAAGUUAUGUUAGAGACUCGGUCCAUUAUGGUGGUAGGUAUAUUCUGACAAAAAGUCUACAUUCAGCAGAAUAGGACAACUUG